rnacentral:rRNA from 1 species
ACACGUAGGGUGCGAGCGUUGUCCGGAAUUACUGGGCGUAAAGAGCUCGUAGGUGGUUUGUCGCGUCGUCUGUGAAAUUCCGGGGCUUAACUCCGGUCGUGCAGGCGAUACGGGCAUAACUUGAGUACUGUAGGGGAGACUGGAAUUCCUGGUGUAGCGGUGAACUGCGCAGAUAUCAGGAGGAACACCGGUGGCGAAGGCGGGUCUCUGGGCAGUAACUGACGCUGAGGAGCGAAAGCAUGGGUAGCGAACAGGAUUAGAUACCCUGGUAGUCCAUGCCGUAAACGGUGGGCGCUAGGUGUAGGGGUCUUCCACGACUUCUGUGCCGUAGCUAACGCAUUAAGCGCCCCGCCUGGGGAGUACGGCCGCAAGGCUAAAACUCAAAGGAAUUGACGGGG